GGAAGGAUCAUUAACAAAAAAUGAACUAAUAACUAACUGACAUGGUUAUAGUGUGUGUUUACUCACUGCUAUAAUGUUAUAUACCAAUACAUAAGCCAUAUAAAACAAUAAAUGGUUGAUAAAACUCUAAAUUUUCAACGAUGGAUGUCUUGGCUCCCAUAUCGAUGAAGAACGCAGCAAGAAUGCGAUAUGCAAUGUGAAUUGCAGAACCAUGAAUCAUCGGAUCUUUGAACGCAACUGGCGCUAGCCUAAACUAGCAUACUUGUUUCAGUGUGCGCAAACACAUAACACAAUCUAAAUGUGAGACACAAUUGCUGUCUCAUGAAAUCCAUGCUCCCUGCAGCAGUCACAUUUAUAUGUGAGCUUCAGAAGAGAACACUUAACUUUAUUUGCACCUGAAAUCAAGUAAGAUGACCCGCUGGACUUAAGCAUAUUACUAAGCGGAGGAGAAGAAAUUAACUAAGAUUCCCCUAGUAAGGGCGACUGAACCGGGAAAAGCUCGAAAUUGGAAUCGAGGAUUCAAAGAAUCUUCGAAUUGUAAUCAGGACUGCCUAAAUACGAGAGAUUGCUCAAUCAUGUCGAAACAUGGGCCAGAGAGGGUGAAAGCCCCGUACAGCUUUUUCUCGCUUAAGGUAGUUCCCAAAAGAGUCGGGUUGCUUGGAACUGCAGCCCUAAGUGGGAGAUAUGAAUCUUCCAAAGCUAAAUAAGGAUGGGAGACCGAUAGCGAACAAGUACUGUGAAGGAAAGAUGAAAAGGACUUUGAAAAGAGAGUGAAAAGAUCUGAAAUCGUUGAGAAGGAAGCGGUAGAAACUGACGGUCGUACUGAAAGAUCACGUGGUCAAAAGCUACGGAAGUCUUCCCAGAACGACGGGCAAAAUGAAGUCAGCUGCAUCAAAAAAGGGUCAAACCGUGUAAGAUGUAGUCGGCUUGAGGGACUAUUGUGAUUUUGCCAAAAUGGUUUUUACUGUCCCGUCUUGAAACACGGACCAAGGAGUCUAACAUAUAUGCGAGUGUGCGAGUGGAGAAACUCAUACGCGGAAUGAAAGUAAAAGGUGCGCAGCGCAAGCAACAGCAUCGACCGACCUAGUAAGAAAGGUUUGAGUAAGAGCAUAUCUGUUAGGACCCGAAAGAUGGUGAACUAUGCCUGAGUAGGGUGAAGUCAGGGGAAACCCUGAUGGAGGCUCGUAGCGUUGUUGACGUGCAAAUCACUCGUCAAACUUGGGUAUAGGGGCGAAAGACUAAUCGAACCAUCUAGUAGCUGGUUCCCUC
rnacentral:misc_RNA from 1 species